ACCUUGGAAAGUUGAUACAAACAACGAUUGUAUCAAAUACCUAUUUUGUUCUGGCAAUAUGGAAACUUUAAUGAAGUGAUUUUACUACAGCGUAAACUCUAAACCAACAAAGAAAACUCUCAUGUAAAUAUUCUUCUUCGUUGAGAUAUCGAUUUAUGUAAAUACAAAACUAGACUAUUUAUAGGAAAGCCUUCAGCUAAGUCUAAAAUUUUAAAAUACGUAAAUGCAGUUUGUCCGCAGUAGAGGGUAGUCUUCAGAGCUGUUCAAAUUUCAUGACCUGCCCCAUCUGAAAUUUGUUAGUAAUCGAGUUCAAGUACAUCUGGUUCAGGCGAGUCAAUAUAAGUAUAUUUAAAAUGGUGUUCUGGCCCAGUUUACAUUCAUGGGUCAAUAAUAGUGUCUAAACUGUUUGCAAAAUACCAUGAAGCUAAUUCUGUUUGUUACGUUGGUGGUUCUUAUAUUAUUUGUUAGUGAUACUUUUGCACUAACACGAGGUAAACGUGGACUGCAUUUGCACUUUGGAUCUUCUAAACAUCACGUCGUACAUCAUGUUCACAGUGCUCCUGUUCUCCAUACUUACCAUGAACCAAUUAUCCAACAUCAUGUGAUAACGCCAGUUACUACUGUACAUCAUCAUUAUCUUAUUUAAUUGAAAUUAAUUAUUAACAGGUGUAUACUGUACAAAUGUAAUUUAUUUAAUAAAACGAAAUUAAUAAUUA